rnacentral:rRNA from 1 species
GAAAGGAGGUGAUCCAACCGCAGGUUCUCCUACGGUUACCUUGUUACGACUUCACCCCAGUCGCUGAUUCCACUGUGGACGGUAACUAGUUUAGUAUUCCGGCUUCGAGUGAAAUCAACUCCCAUGGUGUGACGGGCGGUGAGUACAAGACCCGGGAACGUAUUCACCGUAGCAUGGCUGAUCUACGAUUACUAGCGAUUCCGGCUUCAUGCUCUCGAGUUGCAGAGAACAAUCCGAACUGGGACAUAUUUUAUAGAUUUGCUCCACCUCGCGGUAUUGCGUCUCAUUCUAUAUGCCAUUGUAGCACGUGUGUCGCCCUGGGCAUAAGGGCCAUGAUGACUUGACGUCGUCCACACCUUCCUCCUCCUUACGAAGGCAGUCUAUUUAGAGUGCUCGGCCGAACCGUUAGCAACUAAAUACGUGGGUUGCGCUCGUUGCGGGACUUAACCCAACAUCUCACGACACGAGCUGACGACAGCCGUGCAGCACCUGUCUCUAAGUUCUAGCAAGCUAGCACCCUCUUAUCUCUAAAAGGUUCUUAGGAUAUCAAGCCCAGGUAAGGUUCUUCGCGUAUCUUCGAAUUAAACCACAUGCUCCACCGCUUGUGCGGGUCCCCGUCUAUUCCUUUGAGUUUUAAUCUUGCGACCGUACUCCCCAGGCGGUACACUUAAUGCGUUAGCUGCAUUACUGAGAUGACUAGCACCCCAACAACUAGUGUACAU